rnacentral:rRNA from 1 species
UGCAUGUCUCAGUGCAAGCCACAUUAAGGUGAAACCGCGAAUGGCUCAUUAAAUCAGUUAUGGUUCCUUAGAUCGUACCCACAUUACUUGGAUAACUGUGGUAAUUCUAGAGCUAAUACAUGCAAACAGAGCUCCGACCAGAAAUGGAAGGAGCGCUUUUAUUAGAUCAAAACCAAUCGGUCGGCCUGUCCGAUCCGUUUGCCUUGGUGACUCUGAAUAACUUUUGGCUGAUCGCACGGUCUUCGUACCGGCGACGCAUCUUUCAAAUGUCUGCCUUAUCAACUUACGAUGGUAGGUUCUGCGCCUACCAUGGUUGUAACGGGUAACGGGGAAUCAGGGUUCGAUUCCGGAGAGGGAGCCUGAGAAACGGCUACCACAUCCAAGGAAGGCAGCAGGCGCGCAAAUUACCCACUCCCGGCACGGGGAGGUAGUGACGAAAAAUAACGAUACGGGACUCAUCCGAGGCCCCGUAAUCGGAAUGAGUACACUUUAAAUCCUUUAACGAGUAUCC